UGUUUUCAAACACGUAGGUCAGGAGAGCC
rnacentral:piRNA from 1 species